CUGCAGUGUUGCUUCCAUUAAACACCUACUAAUCUGUUUUCCAUUUAUCCACAGUUGACCUUGUCAUUCUCAAAUCCUCUUGUGGCUGGCUUAAGAUCCUGCUCCAUUACCAUCUGAAGCAGAAGUGUCUGAAUCAGAAUGCCUCUACCAUCUGAAUGAAGGGCUAUUCCUGGUUGGGGCCAGAAGAUGCCUAAAGUAUCUGAUCAGACAAUAUGAGAGAGAAGGGGAAAGCACACGCAGGGAGAGCAGCAGGCAGAGUGAGAAGCAGGCUCCCUGCUGAGCAAGGAGCCUGAUGCAGGACUCAAUCCCAGGACCCUGCAUGGGAUCGUGACCUGAACUGAAGACAGACACUUCACCAACUGAGCCUCCAGGUAUCUCACUCCCAAUUUUUUUUGUAACUAAAGUAUAACUGACAUACAGUGUUACAUUAGUU
rnacentral:lncRNA from 1 species